GACGAACGCUGGCGGCGUGCUUAACACAUGCAAGUCGAACGGAAAGGCCCUGCUUUUGUGGGGUGCUCGAGUGGCGAACGGGUGAGUAACACGUGAGUAACCUGCCCUUGACUUUGGGAUAACUUCAGGAAACUGGGGCUAAUACCGGAUAGGAGCUCCUGCUGCAUGGUGGGGGUUGGAAAGUUUCGGCGGUUGGGGAUGGACUCGCGGCUUAUCAGCUUGUUGGUGGGGUAGUGGCUUACCAAGGCUUUGACGGGUAGCCGGCCUGAGAGGGUGACCGGCCACAUUGGGACUGAGAUACGGCCGAGACUCCUACGGGAGGCAGCAGUGGGGAAUAUUGCACAAUGGGCGGAAGCCUGAUGCAGCAACGCCGCGUGCGGAUGACGGCCUUCGGGUUGUAAACCGCUUUCGCCUGUGACGAAGCGUGAGUGACGGUAAUGGGUAAAGAAGCACCGGCUAACUACGUG
rnacentral:rRNA from 1 species